UGCUUGGGCGAGAGUAGUACUAGGAUGGGUGACCUCUUGGGAAGUCCUCGUGUUGCACCCC
rnacentral:rRNA from 1 species